rnacentral:rRNA from 1 species
UACGGAGGGUGCAAGCGUUAUCCGGAUUCACUGGGUUUAAAGGGUGCGUAGGUGGAUCGGUAAGUCCGUGGUGAAAUCCCCGAGCUUAACUCGGGAACUGCCGUGGAUACUAUCGAUCUUGAAUACUGUGGAGGUAAGCGGAAUAUGUCAUGUAGCGGUGAAAUGCUUAGAUAUGACAUAGAACACCGAUAGCGAAGGCAGCUUGCUACACAGUUAUUGACACUGAGACGCGAAAGCGUGGGGAGCAAACAGG